rnacentral:rRNA from 1 species
GACGAACGCUGGCGGCAUGCCUAAUACAUGCAAGUCGAGCGAACAGAUGAAGUGCUUGCACUUCUGACGUUAGCGGCGAACGGGUGAGUAACACGUAAGGAAUCUACCUAUAAGCGGGGGAUAACAUUCGGAAACGGGUGCUAAUACCGCAUAAUAUCUUCUUCCGCAUGGAAGAAGAUUGAAAGACGGCUCUGCUGUCACUUAUAGAUGACCUUGCGGUGCAUUAGUUAGUUGGUGGGGUAAUGGCCUACCAAGACGAUGAUGCAUAGCCGAACUGAGAGGGUGAUCGGCCACAUUGGGACUGAGACACGGCCCAAACUCCUACGGGAGGCAGCAGUAGGGAAUCUUCCGCAAUGGGCGAAAGCCUGACGGAGCAAUGCCGCGUGAGUGAAGAAGGCCUUCGGGUCGUAAAGCUCUGUUAUAAGAGAAGAACAAAUUGUAGAGUAACUGCUACAGUCUUGACGGUAUCUUAUCAGAAAGCCACGGCUAACUACGUGCCAGCCGCCGCAGUAA